CAACCCUUAAGCCUAGCUUAGUGUUGGGAAUCUACUGUAUUGUAGUUCCUGAAAACCAACGGCGGAACUAUAGUGUCCUCUGAGCGUAGUAAUUUUUUAUCUCGCUUUUGUAAGGUGCUGUAGCUCUUGCCGCUAAACCCCCCAAUUUUUAAU
rnacentral:misc_RNA from 1 species